rnacentral:rRNA from 1 species
UGAGUAAUCUGCCCUCCACUUUGGGAUAACCUCGGGAAACCGGGGCUAAUACCGGAUACUCUCAUCGAACCACAUGGCUCGAUGAGGAAAGCUCCGGCGGUCUGGGAUGGGCCCGCGGCCUAUCAGCUUGUUGGUGGGGUAACGGCCCACCAAGGCGACGACGGGUAGUUGGCGUGAGAGGGUGACCGGCCACACUGGGACUGAGACACGGCCCAGACUCCUACGGGAG